CUCAGUAGUACCAGAAAAAAAGAUUAUGAAAAAUAGUAAAAAUAAUAUCCAGAGAGGAAGAGUGAGACACCAUCGAAAUGACAAAAUGAACAGGCGUAACAACGUGUAAAGAUGAAAGACAAACUAAUUCCGGAAAGAAAAAAAAAAAAAAUAUCGAAGGAA